AAGAUAACUCUUCACCAAAUAUUAUCAUUAAAACCAUAUAGGGGCAGAGUCAUUGGACGUUCAAUCCGAAGCUUCAUGUAGGGGCAGAGCCACGGGACGUUCAAUCCAAAGCUUCAUAUAGGGGCAGAGCCACGGAACGUUCAAUCCAAAGCUUCAUAUAGGGGCAGAGCCACGGGACGUUCAAUCCAAAGCUUCAUAUAGGGGCAGAGCCACGGGACGUUCAAUCCAAAGCUUCAUGUAGGGGCAGAGCUACGGGACGUUCAAUCCAAAACUUCAUGUAGGGGCAGAGCCACGGGACGUUCAAUCCAAAGCUUCAUAUAGGGGCAGUUCCACGACCUCUGCGCGUUAAAGAGCAACUCUUUGAGUUCUUAGUUAGUAUUCCUUACAAAUAAAAGGUGC
rnacentral:lncRNA from 1 species